rnacentral:rRNA from 1 species
AUGGUGGGCCUUGAUAAAAGUGAGAGCUUUGAAUAUUUGCUGGAAAGAAUAGUUAACAGGCUAAAAGGGUGGAAAGAGAAAAUCAUUACUAUGGGCGGCAAGGAGAUUUUAUUAAAGGCAAUUAUACAGUCUAUUCCUGUGUUUGCAAUGGGGGUUUUUUAAAUCCCAAAGAAAAUAUGCAAAGAGAUGACAGACGCAAUGGCCUCUUUCUGGUGGGGGGACACUGAUGAUCACAAGAGAUUGCACUGGUUUGCCUGGUGGAGAAUGUGU